rnacentral:rRNA from 1 species
GCAUAACGCGAAGAACCUUACCUGGGCUUGAACUGUCGGUAUAGGGACCCGAAAGGGCGACGAUCCCGGGCAACCGGGAAGCCGAUAGAGGUGCUGCAUGGCUGUCGUCAGCUCGUGUCGUGAGAUGUUGGGUUAAGUCCCGCAACGAGCGCAACCCUUGUCUUUAGUUGCCAGCGAGUCAUGUCGGGCACUCUAAGGAGACUGCCUCGGAUAACGAGGAGGAAGGUGGGGAUGACGUCAAGUCAGCAUGGCCUUUAUGUCCAGGGCUACACACGUGCUACAAUGGGCGGCACAGAAGGACGCGAGACCGCGAGGUCAAGCCAACCCUUAAAACCGUUCUCAGUUCGGAUUGCAGGCUGCAAUUCGCCUGCAUGAAGUUGGAAUCGCUAGUAAUCGCAAAUCAGCAUGUUGCGGUGAAUACGUUCCCGGGUCUUGUACACACCG